AUAGUUUCUUCCAGGGCUGGGGAUGUAGCUCAAGCAGUAGCACGCUUGCCUGGCAUGUGCGGGGCGCUGGGUUCGAUCCUCAGCACCACAUAAAUAUAAAAAAUAAAGGUAUUGUGUCCACCGAAAACUAACUAACUAAAUAAAUAAAUAUUAAAAAAAAAUAGUUUCUUCCAAAAAAGCCUGAGCUUCCUUGAGGCCAAAAUCCAUGUUCUUAUCAUUUAUGCAUUACCAUCCUGAUACUUUGGUGCUCAUAAGCAGUAAAUUUAAUAAGUCCUAGGAUGAGGCAGUGAGGCAGGAGGAACUCAGGAGAUGGGGCCAGGAAGCUUCUAGAAGAGAGUUUUGCUUUUUCUUCAUCUAAAAAUCUGGCCUUCUUCCUUUGGAAGUGCUCUUUGUCCUGACAUAGGAAGGAGAUACUUAGCUUCCUCUUUCUUCAGCAACCCUUUUUCUGGCUCUAGCCUGCUCUCCCUCCCCUCCCUCCCAAACACCUCAGCAUCUGCACCCUGCCCAUCUGGUAUCCUUCUGCUGUCUCUUUGAAUCUUCCUUGGAAGUUUUUCAGACGGCUAGUUGUUAUCUUUUCCUAAAGCCUGAAAUUUACAUUUAGCAGUGCCCUGGACAUUGCCUUCUGUGUAAUAGUGUUCAGAAAAAGGUUAAAACCUCUCAAAAAUCACUUCUACACUGUUUCAUGGGACUCUAUGUAUCUUUCUUAAUGGAGCAUGGAUCAAAAGGUAGGAGUAGAAAUAAUCAGUGAGGGGCAUUCACACGUAUGUGUAGGAUACAAGGAAAGUCAUGCUGUACACUUCCUGGGCUGUGUCCCAAGGCUGUGGUCUGAGUAGGAUCCUGGGAGACACUGGAUAAGGACCCGUAUUCCUUUCAUGUGCUUGCCUUUUGGGCUGCUGAUCAUAAGAGGAUUUCAUCAGAGCUUUUCACAGCUUUUGGCAGCAUCAAGAUGGAGUGGGAGAAUGAAUGAAAAGAUGGGUCAGUGAAAUUAAGGAGAAUCAAGGGAAUCAUGAACACUCAGAAAAACUAGAAUAUGAAAGAACAUAGGAUAGCAAAGAAACUCUGGGUAUGGAGGAAACAUGAGUCAUAUUAAAUUUAAUCAAAUUCUCAAAGGAAGAAAAUAUAAACCUUAAUUAAUAACAUACUAAAAGGGCCCUGGAUAAAGUUGAUUCCCCAAGGAACUGCUAUUCUGGUAUUUUAUUUAUAAGAGUUUUGACCAAAUGUUCUGGACAACUUUAAGAUUUUAUACCAAUUUUAUUAGAAAUUCUCACUUAUAAGUAUUUUGAAGUUGUAUGCUUUUAGAAAUUUUCCAGUAGUCUGGUACCUCCCAAGUUCUUCAUGACAAAUUUAAGUGUAAUGAUUUGAUGGACAUGCUGUCCAGUUAUCUUAACAAUCUCGAAUGUGCAGGAUUUGUGGUACGGGGUUGCACUGAUUUUUUUGACUUGUGUGUUUAAAC
rnacentral:lncRNA from 1 species